rnacentral:lncRNA from 1 species
GCGGUGUUAGGAGUGACGUGCCGUCUGAUGCAAAUGCGAAUCGUAGAAUCCUCGUGAAUUCAUUCGUUGGAUAAUAACUGCGUAGUGAUCGAGUGGAUUUCUAAAUUUAUUGAAAAUACAUUUGUGUUUGUUGUUAUCACUUUGGAUCUUAUCGCCGGAUGAUUGGAUUUUACUCUCCUUGGUGAUUUUUAUUCAAUGAAACUGACUGCUCUUCAGAUUGAGAGGCUGAGGUUGGUUGGGAGGGGCUAAUGGUCCGGGACCGGGACAGCAAUGAGUGUUGUUGCUGUUCAUGGCGACAUUUAACCGGGCGGAGUGGACCGGCAAGAGGGACCGGGAGUGGCGGCAAGCAGCCUCGCAAGACUAUGCGCACCGCCACCAGGCACCACGGGCACCUCAACGGAAAACCCAAAACCAACGGACACAUCCAUACAAGUAAGAGACAUUUCACACACAUUGCCCUCUUAUUCGAUAACAAACACUCGU